AGCGAACGCUGGCGGCAUGCUUAACACAUGCAAGUCGCACGGUCGGGUUUCGGCCCGGCAGUGGCGGACGGGUGAGUAACGCGUAGGUAUCUAUCCUUGGAUGGGGGACAACCGUGGGAAACUACGGCUAAUACCGCAUGACGACCGAGGUCCAAAGGCCGCGAGGCCCGUCUGGGGAGGAGCCUGCGUCCGAUUAGCUAGUUGGUGGGUAACGCCUACCAAGGCGGUGAUCGGUAGCUGGUCNGAGAGGAUGAUCAGCCACACUGGGACUGAGACACGGGCCCAGACUCCUACGGGAGGCAGCAGUGGGGAAUAUUGGACAAUGGGCGCAAGCCUGAUCCAGCAAUGCCGCGUGGGUGAAGAAGGUCUUCGGAUUGUAAGCCCUUUCGACGGGACGAUGAUGACGGUACCCGUAGAAGAAGCCCCGGCUAACUUCGUGCCAGCAGCCGC
rnacentral:rRNA from 1 species